GCAACAUAGGUUAACAUUUCUGGCAAAUGUCUUCGUGGCGCAUAGAAAUGCAGCAGUUAGUGCACUUAGCUACAAACUGAUGACGUUAUUUAUCUGAAGUUCUAAUUAAUUCUGAGAACAUAUUGAAAAUGCUAACAGACAUUUAAUUGUUGGUUUUCCAUUCCUUUCCUGUCUGUGCCAAGGCUGUGUUUGUGCAGGGAGCAAACCUCUGCUGCUGUGUGGCAACUCGGUGCCCUCCAGUGUGUUCCUGAUUAUAUCUACUGAGCUAUAAGCAGAAUGUACAAGUACAAUUGCUGAGUGACCUAGCUUGAGAAAAUGUAAUGGAACUACAUAAACGUCUACACAGAAGAGAUUGUGUAUAAAAGCUGUAUAAAUUAAAGGAAAUGCAAUUGCAUUUCUUUCAGUGACAUGCCAGCAAAAAAUAUAUGACUGCUGUAGCACUUACAAACAAUCCACAAUGAAUAAUUCACUCUCUGAGUCCAGAGUCUGUUUCUCAACAUGGAAUCAUCAUGAGCAGAUUAUAAUUUCCUUGAAUGUAUUCAUGAUCGGGCUGAACUUUGAAACAAGGGAACGUUCACCGAGCGCUGAGGAGCCAUCAGGACAGAUGAAGAAAUCUGCCAGGAACCGCAGACACGCAAGGAGCAGUACACUGAGCCGGACAGACUUAAUCUCUGGCAACUAA
rnacentral:lncRNA from 1 species